rnacentral:rRNA from 1 species
UUAGAGUUUGAUCCUGGCUCAGAUUGAACGCUGGCGGCAGGCUUAACACAUGCAAGUCGAGCGGAGAAGGUGCUUGCACCUUAUCUAGCGGCGGACGGGUGAGUAAUGCUUAGGAAUCUGCCUAUUAGUGGGGGACAACAUUUCGAAAGGNAUGCUAAUACCGCAUACGUCCUACGGGAGAAAGCAGGGGAUCUUCGGACCUUGCGCUAAUAGAUGAGCCUAAGUCGGAUUAGCUAGUUGGUGGGGUAAAGGCCUACCAAGGCGACGAUCUGUAGCGGGUCUGAGAGGAUGAUCCGCCACACUGGGACUGAGACACGGCCCAGACUCCUACGGGAGGCAGCAGUGGGGAAUAUUGGACAAUGGGGGGAACCCUGAUCCAGCCAUGCCGCGUGUGUGAAGAAGGCCUUAUGGUUGUAAAGCACUUUAAGCGAGGAGGAGGCUACUGAGACUAAUACUCUUGGAUAGUGGACGUUACUCGCAGAAUAAGCACCGGCUAACUCUGUGCCAGCAGCCGCGGUAAUACAGAGGGUGCGAGCGUUAAUCGGAUUUACUGGGCGUAAAGCGUGCGUAGGCGGCUUUUUAAGUCGGAUGUGAAAUCCCCGAGCUUAACUUGGGAAUUGCAUUCGAUACUGGGAAGCUAGAGUAUGGGAGAGGAUGGUAGAAUUCCAGGUGUAGCGGUGAAAUGCGUAGAGAUCUGGAGGAAUACCGAUGGCGAAGGCAGCCAUCUGGCCUAAUACUGACGCUGAGGUACGAAAGCAUGGGAGCAACAG